ACUCGUGGUUUAUUUAGAUGGCUUGGCUAGCACACUAUUUUGGCGGGACUUAUCAAACUUUUUGAGCUCGUCGGACAUUGUAAGCGAGCGUCGCAGGCAGUGGGCGGUGUACUCGGGGUGAUGGAACCAAUCCGGAUCAGGUGGGGCGAGAUGGACAGGGUACGAGGCGACAUCCACGUGGUGGUUUUUGGACUCGGGUAUUGGCUGUUGCUGAUGAGAAGUCGGUGAGUGAUGGCCCGCAGACUUAUCGUUGGCAUAUACUGGGCGCCAACAUGAAUCUCUCGACGGCUUGGUACGGCUGCUUGCGGCGGUAAUGACGACCUUGCGAUUGCCGUGACCGCAGAAACGCUCCCCCUGAGUGAUAAACGGGCAGGACGUUCCCAGUAGAGCAGCGACCGGCGAGGUAUCGGCCGGCCAGUGGCGCUAUCGUCUUCAGGAAACCAGUCCGUCCGAAGACCGCCCAGAAGUAGCGACCGGUGGAACCAACACGGAGAAAAACGAAAAUACUAGUUAGUGUACGAUAUAUUAUUUUCUCAAAAUAAUAUUCUUUUAAUCUUUGAGAAGCUUAUUAUGUUAUACCUUGCCAAGCUUAUCCGUGAUUUAUUUUUUGUGGUGCUUAUGUAGUGAAACACGCUACCCUUGGGACUUUUCAAAAUUUAAUUUCAUUUUGUUCGGUUCGGAAUCAGAAUCACAUCGUGUUCCUAAGUAUAUCCUCGAAAAAUACGAGUUCAAGCAAUUUAUUUUACAUUCGAGUGUUCAAAACCAGCAUUCUAUGUCGCAAGUGAAGCCCAUAAAGAAAAACCAGAAUGUGGAGAAAAUAAAUGCUCGCAGCGGAUCAGCACUCAGCUCUUAUCAGAGACGCCAUCCUCAAAGGACAUUUGUCGCAGGAAAUUUGCCGCAGGAAGAGAUUUUAAGCUCAUAAUGGGGUGAAAUAUGGAAUUACGAUCAUGAAGAUUAUUUUGUAAAAGAGCUCCAUUCCGGUCGCCGUAAUCAAGUCGGAAACAACUGCGAUUUUGAUCGAAGCGGAACAAGAUGGAAGAACCAUGAGUUGCAGAGACACAUUCACCAAGAUAUAAUUUAUAUGGAAAUCAAUAAGUUGCAUGCGAAAAUCGUUUUUCGCAUGUGCAACAAUGAUCUACUAAAUUGUGUAAACAGUCAAAAUGAAUCAUUCUCUAGAAGACACUAGAUUUCUAUAGAUCAAGGAAAAGCAGUUAUAACCAUUUAAGUGCAAAAAUGAGUCAUUUUUGGGGUCCGUGUAUUUAUUCGGGUGGCAGAUGGUGGCAAAUGAAACCUAGUAGGAUUCAUAAUAUUGUGCAUUCAGAUUAACUUUAGACCGAAG